rnacentral:rRNA from 1 species
GACGAACGCUGGCGGCGUGCCUAAUACAUGCAAGUAGAACGCUGAAGAGAGGAGCUUGCUCUUCUUGGAUGAGUUGCGAACGGGUGAGUAACGCGUAGGUAACCUGCCUGGUAGCGGGGGAUAACUAUUGGAAACGAUAGCUAAUACCGCAUAAAAUGGAUUAUCGCAUGAUAAUCCAUUGAAAGGUGCAAAUGCAUCACUACCAGAUGGACCUGCGUUGUAUUAGCUAGUUGGUGGGGUAACGGCUCACCAAGGCGACGAUACAUAGCCGACCUGAGAGGGUGAUCGGCCACACUGGGACUGAGACACGGCCCAGACUCCUACGGGAGGCAGCAGUAGGGAAUCUUCGGCAAUGGACGGAAGUCUGACCGAGCAACGCCGCGUGAGUGAAGAAGGUUUUCGGAUCGUAGAGCUCUGUUGUAAGAGAAGAACGAGUGUGAGAGUGGAAAGUUCACACUGUGACGGUAUCUUACCAGAAAGGGACGGCUAACUACGUG